CCUUGAGCAUGGACAGCCUGGAUCUGCUGGGUGAAGGGAGAAGUUAUGUCCAGGGUGGGACAGAGAGGAUGGCGAGAGAUUUCCUCACUGCUCAGAACAGUGGGAAAUUCAAAACUUAGGGAUUAUUUCUGAAAUUUUCCAUUUAAAAAUUUCCAUUUAUAAUUGACCAAGGGUAACUGAAACCAGAGAAAGCAAGACUGAGGAUAAGGGAGGGGCCUCCUGUACUCCAAGAGCACUGAAUCCGGAAAAACUCAACACAUUGAUGGAGUCAUAUAUUUAAUUUUUUCUUAAAAGCCACCUGCGGGAUAUUGUAGAAACACUGCGCUGCCAAUCACAGCUUGUGAUGUGACACAUUCAUUCUGCAAGUUUAAACUUCCCCUAGACAGCAUCUCUUUGAGCAACAAUUUCUUGAAAUAAAAAAAUAUAUUCUUGGCCAGGCAUGGUGGCUCACGCCUGUAAUCCCAGCACUUUGGGAGGCCAAGGCGGAUGGAUCACUUGAGGUCAGGAGUUCAAGACCAGCCUGAUCAACAUGGCGAAACCCCAUCUCUACUAAAAAUACAAAAAUUAGCCGACUGUGCUGGUGUGCACCUAUAAUCCCAGCUACUUGGGAGGCUGAGACAGGAGAAUCGCCUGAACCUGGGAGGCAGAGGUUGCAGUGAGCUGAGAUGGCACCACUGUACUCCAUCCUGGGCAACAGAGCAAGACUCUGUCUCAAAUAUAUAUAUAUAUUUUCUCUAGUUCGCUUUAGACUCCUGACCCCAGCUUAUAGUUGUUUUUGUUGAAGACUGUAUUAUUAUGGUCUCUCCAU
rnacentral:sRNA from 1 species